UACGGAGGGUGCAAGCGUUAAUCGGAAUUACUGGGCGUAAAGCGUGCGUAGGUGGUUUUUUAAGUCAGAUGUGAAAGCCCUGGGCUUAACCUAGGAACUGCAUUUGAAACUGGAAAACUAGAGUAUAGGAGAGGAAAGUGGAAUUUCUGGUGUAGCGGUGAAAUGCGUAGAUAUCAGAAAGAACACCAAUGGCGAAGGCAACUUUCUGGACUAAUACUGACACUGAGGUACGAAAGCGUGGGUAGCAAACAGG
rnacentral:rRNA from 1 species